UACGGGGGGGGCAAGCGUUGUUCGGAAUUACUGGGCGUAAAGGGCGCGUAGGCGGCCUUCUAAGUCAGACGUGAAAUCCCUCGGCUUAACCGGGGAACUGCGUCUGAUACUGGAUGGCUUGAGGUUGGGAGAGGGAUGCGGAAUUCCAGGUGUAGCGGUGAAAUGCGUAGAUAUCUGGAGGAACACCGGUGGCGAAGGCGGCAUCCUGGACCAAUUCUGACGCUGAGGAGCGAAAGCCAGGGGAGCAAACGGGG
rnacentral:rRNA from 1 species